CCUACGGGUGGCAGCAGUGGGGCAUAUUGGGCACUGGGCGCAAGCCUGACCCAGCAACGCCGCGUGAAGGAAGAAGGCUUUCGGGUUGUAAACUUCUUUUAAGAGGGAAGAGCAGAAGACGGUACCUCUUGAAUAAGCCACGGCUAACUACGUGCCAGCAGCCGCGGUAAUACGUAGGUGGCAAGCGGUGUCCGGAUUUACUGGGGGUAAAGGGCGUGCAGCCGGGAAGACAAGUCAGAUGUGAAAUCCCGCGGCUCAACCGCGGAACUGAAUUUGAAAAUGUUUUUCUUGAGUAUCGGAGAGGUAAUCGGAAUUCCUAGUGUAGCGGUGAAAUGCGUAGAUAUUAGGAAGAACACCAGUGGCGAAGGCGGAUUACUGGACGACAACUGACGGUGAGGCGCGAAAGCGUGGGGAGCAAACAGGAUUAGAUACCCUUGUAGUC
rnacentral:rRNA from 1 species